UGGCGCACGGGUGAGUAACGCGUGGAUAAUCUACCCGACGGACCGGGAUAACAUUUCGAAAGGGGUGCUAAUACCGGAUAAGACCACGGCUUCUUAGGGGGCUGCGGUAAAAGGUGGGGACCUUCGGGCCUACCGUCAUCGGAUGAGUCCGCGUACCAUUAUCUAGUUGGUAGGGUAAGGGCCUACCAAGGCGACGAUGGUUAGCUGGUCUGAGAGGAUGAUCAGCCAUUUCUGGAACUGAGACACGGUCCAGACUCCUACGGGAGGCAGCAGUGGGGAAUUUUGCGCAAUGGGGGAAACCCUGACGCAUCAACGCCGCGUGAGUGAUGAUGGCCUUCGGGUCGUAAAGCUCUGUCAGAGGGGAAGAACUGCAGGGGUGCUAAUAUCAUCUUUGCUUGACGGUACCCUCAAAGGAAGCACCGGCUAACUCCGUGCCAGCA
rnacentral:rRNA from 1 species